GCUCAGGAUGAACGCUAGCUACAGGCUUAACACAUGCAAGUCGAGGGGUAGCAGGGUAGCAAUACCGCUGACGACCGGCGCACGGGUGAGUAACACGUAUCCAACCUACCGUCUACUCGGGGAUAGCCUUUCGAAAGAAAGAUUAAUACCCGAUAGUAUAAAGAGUUCGCAUGUUCUCUUUAUUAAAGGAUUCCGGUAAACGAUGGGGAUGCGUUCCAUUAGAUUGUUGGCGGGGUAACGGCCCACCAAGUCUUCGAUGGAUAGGGGUUCUGAGAGGAAGGUCCCCCACAUUGGAACUGAGACACGGUCCAAACUCCUACGGGAGGCAGCAGUGAGGAAUAUUGGUCAAUGGGCGCUAGCCUGAACCAGCCAAGUA
rnacentral:rRNA from 1 species